UUUCUCCACAUGAAUGACUCGUGUAGAUGUUGGAGUGAUUCAGGCCUACUGUUGACUCUUGCUCAGCAGAAACAUCUUUAAAGCCAUUCCUGAAGUUGGAUUUCACCGAGCAUCCAUGUUUGGCCACAGUUCCCUGCUUUCCCCUUCGCCUCAGCUCCUCUGACUCACACUGAACACUGUUGCCAGGGCUACCGUUUAUUAAAAUUGGUCCACAACUUUAAGCCUCAUCACCAGACUGCAGGUGGCUGACGGCAGACACUGACCAUAAACACCCCUGAGGUGCUGCUGGUCUGUCUACCUCUGCCAGUACAGCUGUGGCCGCUGUCGGAGGAACUGUCAGGGCCGGUGUGACCUCUGCAGUGGGAUGGCUGCGCAGCCGUUUCAGUGAUCAAAAAUGAGCUUUUUUUGACACUCAUCUGCAUUUGUUCUGACACAAAGCUCUGUCUUCUCUGAAAUUUGGGGGGGUUUGUGUAUCUUUCAAUCAAUUCACUUUUGACAAUCCAGUAAUAUAUGUUGUUCAUAUAACA